rnacentral:lncRNA from 1 species
CAGUGUAAUAAAUCAUGUAGUAUUUUGUGCCAAAGUUCCUCUUACCCUACUUUGACUGUAUUCUUCUGUCUUUUGAUGUGCAGGAUGGAAUGUCAGUUUGGAAUAAGGAGAUAACAAAGUAUACGGGAAUUGGAGGAGGUGAUGGAUCCAAGGGCACGACAGCAUCCUAUUUCUGUACCUACUGAAAGAGGACAUAAGCAAGCCAACCCCAAAGUCCUUAGUGUUUGAAAGGAGAACACCAAAAGUUACACAGCUUGGAAAAAUUAUAUUGCCCAAGUGACGCUCAGGGGAGGCACCACCAAAUGUUGAAGGAAAUAGGAAGCCCACAGCAGAGCCUUCUGCUACAGACUAGUGGGGAUUUGGAGGGAAAGUCUGAAUAAUGCUUAGUCACAAGGUGAUGUCUCGGUCCUGCAGCAAAGAUGUUUGGCAAGUAAAGAGAGCUGCUGUGUGUGACACAUUUGGACAUCAGGCUCUGAGAAUAAAGAGGGACCCGCUAAUUGAUCUUCUGGAAGAAUAA